UUUUUUCAAGGUGCGUUUUCCGGUUUUAUUUUCCGUCACGCUGCGAACUUGACAGUGUCAAAGAUGUAGUACAAUUAUAUUUUAAAUGAUUAUAUGAAAUUAUGCUACGUUCAACUAAGAUCAAUUUAUUCUGAGAGAUGUAUAAGUACAAUAGUAUGAUUUUAUGGAUUCAUGCUUGUGUUACCUGACGUAAUUGACAAUGGACUCGGCUUUGACUGCAGUAAUAAAUCAUUUCUAUAGUCAAUACAUAUAUUAAACAAUGCUAGCAUCAUGGAAACGUCGAACAUUCACAAGGGAUACAUAUAUUUCUGGAGCACCGUGGAACACAGUGGAUCUGGAGAAUAUACCUGAUGAAUAAAAAGUACAAAAACCUAUAAGCAAACGCUUAUUGAGAUUUUAAGAUUUUAAACUCAAUAUUUAAAGUAAGAUAUAAUGGCUAUCAAUCUUAUACUAUUUAAAUAUAUAUAAACAUAUAUAUAUAUAUAUUAAUGACUAACAACACAUCAUCAUUUCAUACAGUUAUACAAUAUGUACCCAAAUGUACUCUUGAAAUGUUACAUGUAUUCCUGUGGUGCAAAAAAUAUCUUCUAACAUUUUGUAUCUUUUAAUCGACGUAUGAUGUGUACCCAGUAUUGUUUGCAAAAUUCAAUUUGCAUAACAUCCAACAUGCAAUAUAUUCAGUAGAUGUACACACAUAUUCAUAUAUUUACAAUUAUCAAUAUGAAAUCAUGUAUUAUUAUUCAUCUUUUUAAUUUUCACUU